AAGGAAAUAUUUUUUUAAGCAAUCAAAAGGUUAAUUGGUCUAUUAACAACUAAAUUAACGACGUAUGCAAAAUAUUUCGUUUUACCAAAUCGAAUUUGAUAGCUUUAAGCAAUUUAUGUUAGGUACGACAUUUCCCAUACAAGUCACCCUCCAAAAGUUGCAUGCAAGUUUUCAUACUAACAUAAAAAUAUUUAUUCCACUUUUUGUCCCACUUUUCUUUGGCUGGUCGAGGGGCGAUAAAAAUAAUAAAGCAUUUAAUCUGAAAAAUAUUAAAAACUCAUAAGAUUUGUUAAAGAAUUUCCAUUAAAACCCGAUAUUUUGAUAAAUAUUUUUUUAUCUGCCCCCUCAAAAUGCUAAAUCUUGCCUUGGCUUGGGGGAGGCAAAAAGUCAAAAAUAAAUUUGAAUCCACCUAAAUGGAGAAGCGAAAAAAUCACGCGAAUAAAAAAAAAACAACUGUCAGAAGUGGGGUUCGAACCCACGCUCCCAGACGGGAACCAGAGCUUAAAUCUGGCGCCUUAGACCGCUCGGCCAUUCUGACUUACGUACGAUGAGGUGCAAAAUGAAAAACUCUUUCGAUGGUGAAAGUGAAAGUGAAUGCUACCCCGAAGAGACCUGCAAUCCAUCACCACGAGUGCCUCAUGUGUUAUAAUGAUUGAAUCAAUUUGCCAAUCAAUCAAAAUAAAGAUGUUUCAAAUCAGUAGCUUGGGUGAAAGAACCACUACUAGAGAAUGACCUUGACCUUGACUAUCCUAUCGCCUUUUUUUCGACAUGUUUGUUGUAGUCAAUAAUAAUUAUUGGAUGAUUGAACUCCAACCCCCUCCAGAAACAAUCGAGAAAUUCGAUUCCAGCAGUAGAUUCGUAAUCCACUUGUGGCGGACGCCGCGGAGUUAUUGUGAUUAGAGAAAAACCCACACAGAGGGGCAACCAACAGCUCCUCCGGCUCCAAAAAUAUAGCGAAAGAUAAAUGGAAAAGUACAUAUUGUAUUAGCCCGGGUCCCGGGCCCCGAGCUUAAUACCGUUUCGACAGAAGAGUUGCUAAAUGAUAAGCAGUCACGCAAUCGAAUCGUGUGCCUCGUCGAAAGAACAGCAACAAACUAUCGACACAGCACACAGAAGUGCUUCAGCCGCGAUACGAUACGUGCUCUUCCAGUCCAGCCCAGCUCGAGUCAAUUGAUUUCGACAAAAGCGUGAUGGGUUCUGGCGGGCGGCACGGCGGCAGGCGAGCGCUUUUCGCUUUGCUCGUCGUGAAUUGAAGCACGUGUUUUUGUGGAUGUUUGAAUUCAAGCGAAUACCAACACACUACUCGGUGUUGUUGCUUUCCGGCGGCACAAGGCAAGAGUGUUUGGAUACGGAAACAGAUGCAACACCGCACAGAGGCACAGAUCUGGUGGUGACGCAUAUCGGUCAUAAAUUUGAACUUUUAGUUGAUGAUUCAGCACGCGUGCGAAAAUCGUCAGUGGUGUAUGCAGCUAACGAGUUGAUAAAAAAUGCAACGAAGCUUGUCGAGUUGGGUAAAUGCAAAGCCUGCUGAAAAAGUUGGAUUUUGUAACGAAUUACAUAUACACAUACUGAAUUACAUAUUUACAGUAAUGUAGUAUUUUUCUCAUAGAGUAAAAAUUUACUUCGUCAUAUGCGUCAUUUCCCGCCACACCAGACGGAAAAUAGAUAUUUCGACUUAUAUUUGCCAAUGCCUCACACGCUAUGCCCAAAGGGAAGUAGUAUAAAAAUCAAAUGUUAUUCCGUAGGAUCGUAAGUUUGGACCUCAGGUUUCAGAAUCUGUGAGGUUUAAAAUAUUUCAUCUAGGGUUUUUCGAUUGUUUUGAUUUUUUUUCUAUUUUCCCAUACAAAUGACGGAAAAACCAUUUUCAGGUCAAUAUCAUCCCAUAUAAAAAUGUAUGGGAUAAAAAUCCAAGAUGGAUUUUUUUAAAUCGCACAUAUUCUGAAUCUAGAGGUCCAAAAACACGAUUCCAGCAAAUAAACUUUAAGAUACAUCUACUUUUCAUAAUACAUGGAGAUAGCGUGCCUUAUUGUUUGUUUACAGUUUUCUUCGGCUAGGGAGGAUACAAGCAAAUGUGUGCGUGGUUUUUAUGCAUACUAAACAUCGUAUUUCACAACCACAGAGAAAGAUUUCUUCGUUGCAUUGUGAUGGUGUAUUUCGAUCGUUAUUUGAAAGCUACAUCCAUCUCAAUUUAAACCUUUCUGUUCAAUCGUACUUUGAACACAUUAUUUGAUUGGGAUUGCGAAGAAUUUGAUCGAUUUUUCCAACAAACACCCACAGUCAAAUCAUAGUUUUUGAACAUCCUAUGUACGAAGAAGGUGUACCGAGAAUUAUAUUCAAAUUGUGCCCGAAAUAGACGUGGACUGUACGGAAGCAUUAUCCGAGGGACCAUUUUAAAAUCUAGCGCAGGAAAUUGUAAUUCUUUUGAAAUAUUCUUUUACAUGGCAUGGAAGCUAAUUUAUAAUUUAUUAAUUGAUACCAAAUUGGCCAAGUGUUGAGCGAGCAGCAAUAAUAAAUUUGAUCAUUAUUGGUCGGUGCUUAGAUAUCAGUUUUGGUUGCGACUAUGAUGGAAUGUAACUUGAAAAUAGCUUUUUCAGUCUCGCCAAAAUUCAAAUACUGCUAUAUAAUCUUGCCCAACGUUUCAGUCGCAUAUAGGACCUUCAUCAGGGACUCUAAAAUUGAUAGACGAAAAUUAAAUAAAAACCCUACUGCCAAUUAUUGUCCAGCUACACAACUGAAUUGGCCAGAAACGUGUUCAUCUCUUCUGUCGCAGAAGCGCGGCUCUUUUUGCAUGUUUGCUUAAUACGCGAGCAGAAAGCAACAUUGACAGAGGCACAAAGUGGAAACGUUUUCAAUUUUCUGAGUAGGAAGAUGUUUGUUUGUCUGUUCUUAUGAUUCCAUCCGGAUACAGAUGCAUUAAAAUUGAUCAAAUUCACACCAACUUCACUGGAACAGAAACCUCUCAGAAUCUAUAGAUCCAUAGAAUGAACAGUUUCUGAAAAUUGGUUUGUAAAUCCAGCUUAGUUAAUGGUUGCAAAAUUUAUACACGAUAUUGUACCGAUUUAUUUACAAAAUUAUAUUUUUUUUCACUUUAAAAACCACUUGAAAAUUCAAUUGAAUUCCUAAAUUAAAUUUUUAAAAUUGUUGUUACGAAAUAAGCUUUGCUGGUAAAUCAACACACUGGAACCUCUUUUUAUGCCAUUGGCUGGGGUGAUCACAAAAUACGCGAACACGAGACGGAACACAACACUCAUCGUUCUUACUAAUUAAAAGGAACUUUAAAAAAUUACCUUUUUGGUCGACCGGUUUCGGGCUCGAAGUUGCCCAUCUACGGGACGAUGUCGGAAACUUUUGGAAGUUCCCAGAGAGCCCAAAAAAAAGAGGAUUCCAAGGGGCUUCAGAGGCGUUUCAGGAAGUUGUUUCAGGAGAAUUGGGGAACCUUUCAAGGGCGUUCCGUCAGGGGCGUUUCAGAGGGUUUCUGGCUCUUUUUAAUAGCGUUCCAAGAGGUUGUAACCUGCUCCUCUGCCUUGAUGACUGUGGCAGGUGACUAUUGCUUUCGCGUAAUGAGCUGAUGAUAAAUGCUCUCAGCCACACCAAUUGACACAGGAGUUUUAGUCGAUUAUUACCAUGUCAAUCACUACACUAAACAACAAUUACAACAGAACAUUGUCAUCGGAUCAAUCGUUGUCAAUGAUCGAUUGAUCGCGCCGCAUGCCUCAAUGGAUGCUCCGCUGGGCGCAAACUGCUUUUGCAAAUUAAAUUAAUUUAAAAUCCACCCGACAUCACCUGAAGUAAUACACCUGUUCAUCCCACCUGAACCCGAUUCAAAACGUUGCCAUAAAAACAAAUCAUUGGUAUCAGUAACCCUAACAUAAGUGCUCAUUCUCUGAUAAGAGCAAGAGUUAUUACUCGUCACGAAAGCCGAUCUACAAUGAGUACCACCAAACUGUAUAUCACUCACGAGAGCACACAUGCCAUAGCCAUAUAAUCUUUGUAAGAUAGGAGACAAGUAUCAGUUAUUGGUUUACCGUCAAACAGACCCCAAUAGUGCGAAUCGUUGUGUGACUCUAUCCAUCUAGUUGUCUGACCAAUAACGGUGAAGAAGAAGUGAUACCUAAAAUGGACUUGCUGAUGGAUCAGCAAGAGUGAGCAUAAGAUGAGAUCGGUAAGAAAUAAGACAAAUAUAACAAACGUGAUGUCUAGCAAUAUCCCAAACUAUACAAAAUUAAACCACUAAUGCCACCCGAUGCCUACUAAAGGCCUUUCUUUUGAACCAGCAAAAAUCUGGUGGUGAACACCCUGUUGAAUGGUGGUGAUGUCGUGGUGUAAGAACGUUCAUGGCGUGCAAAGCAGCGGGGUUGCCGGCAUGGUGCCGGUGGUCUUUACCCCCAGAACUGUCCGGACAGAGCAGAUCGCUUCGCUGACGCCGAGGGAUACACCAUUACACUGCACCACACACCAACAGAACCGUAGGAUAAGCAUAAUUAGGCUAAGACCACAAUAAACGUAAGUACACACCCCAUUGAUCAUUCCUAUUUUUGUGAGAUUUGAACUUCUAUCUUGGUUUGGGAUGGCUCGUUAGUUCAGCGUUGGUUCCGCUUUUCUAGAACCUGGUUCUUGCUGUGGGUCAAGAAAGUGGGUCGGGGGACCGAUACUCACAGGAACCGCUCUGUUUUAUCAACUUUUGUCUCUUGGUCUCAUGCACCCUCUGCAUAGAGGUGACAAGGUUUCAGGGGCAUUUCAUAUUUCGAGAAAUUUAGGGUCAGGGUCGUAUCUUUCAGGAGGUUUUAGGAACACCAUUAACCUCUUCCCGCCCACGACUUUUUUCAAACUUUUGAAUGCUAAAAAAUACUAUGAACAAAAAGUGCUCGAACAAAAGUUGUUAGGGAUCACUUAAAUUUAUCGAAAUCGUAAAAAAAGUUUUUAAUUGUUUAUCACGCCUCUGAAACCCGCCAAAAUGCUCUGAAAGUACCUAAAAUACCCUCUAAAUCCUUCUAAAACCGAGGGGGACUGCAUGUAGCGUACCUAAGAUCCUCCAACACCCUCGAAAACGCCUUUGAAAUUUAUAUGAAACUUCCUGAAAAAAAUCUCGAAAUACCCUUAAAAUACCCUCGGACCCCAUGUAACGUACCUAAAACUAACGUAACACACCCCCCGAAACGUCCCUAACACCCCUAAAAACUCCCCAGAAACCCUCUUGAACUCCCCUGAGGCCUUCUGGUGCUCUCUGGUACUCCUUUAAACGUCUUGGAACUCCCCUGGAACGUUCUGAAAGAUCUUGCAGCACCCCAGAAGCCCUCAGGAUGCCUCCAGAGACAAAUGUCAUGGCACAAAUGUCCAAAAUGGAGGAUAACGUUGCUCUGGAGCCAGCCUUCUGAAGAAAAAAGAAAAAGCAGGCGCCGCCAACGAUAAACGCACCUAUAUUUUCAUUAUGUAUCGCCCUUCUCACUUUAAUUAUGUAUUUAUGAUCCGAUUGCUGAACACUGGUAUUACCUAUAGGUUCAUAGGCGUGACUUCCAGAUUUUUGUUUUCAAUGUCAACGGCGUUCCUGUAGUCUCAGGGGGUUUCAAAGGGUUUCAGAGGUGUUCCAACUAUUCAAGCGUUUUAAGAAUUUCCAAGGAAUUUCAGGGACAUUCCAGAGGAAUGCAUGAGGUUUUAGGAGCGUUACAGGGAUUUCAGGAAUGUUCCAGGGGAUUUCGGGGACGGUUCGAGGGUUUUGAUUUAGCUUAAGUGGCAUUCCAGGGAGUUUGAAGACGUUGAAUGGGGUUUAGGAGGUGUUCCUGGGUUCCUGGGGUUUAGGAGGUGUUCCAGGGGAGUUCAGCGGCGUAACAGGAGCUUCAGCUACGGUUCAGGGGGUUUCUGUGACUUUUAGAGGGUUUCUGGGAUGUUCAAGGUGAAUGAAAGGGUUUUCGGACGUUUCAAAAGUGUAACAGGGGUUUUCAGGUGUGUUCCAGUGGUUUUCAAGAGAUUUCAGCGGAGUUCCAGAGCUUGCGGGAGUGAUCCAGGGCGUUUCAAUAGCAAUCCAAGAAGUCUAUAGGUUUAAGGAGAUUUCAAGGUAUUCAAGGGCGUGUCAAGGGCCUUUCAACGAUAUUACAGGGGGCUUCAUGAUCGUUACAGGGCGUUUGUGAUGAUUUCAGUAGCGUUUCUGGGGUUGCAGAUGUGUUCCAGGAUCCCUGAGGUUGCAGACGUAUUGCAGAGGCAUUCCAGAGGAUUUUAAAUGCGUUCCAAGAGGUUUCAAGAAGCUCCUGGGGGUUUCCAAAGAUUUCAGGUCGUUCUAGGGUUCCAAGAGUUUCAAAAGGAUCAAGCCCGAAUAAAAAUUUACAUAAGCCUGACGUUAAAUUUCGAUGUAUACAUCAAAAUCAAGGUUUGAUGUACUUCUGAUGUUGAACAUUAGAAAACAUUACGAUUCAGAUGUGUUUAUGCAAGGUAACAUAAUGUAUACAUCAGGAAAACAAACGUUUUUUUGAUGUCAAGCAUAUAAUCCAAAACAUCAAAAUCUGACGUUUUCAAAUGUUUUUUGAUGUGCAAAAAACAUAAAACUCAAACGUUUUUCUUUUGUAUGUUGAUGUAAAAUAACAAUAUAUUUGGACGUUUUCAGAUGUUUUAUGAUGUGCAAAUACAUUAGAUUCAAACGUAUUUUUGAUGUAUGUUGAUGUAAAAAACAUACGAUUUAGACGAUUCCUGAUGUUGUUGACGUCAAUUCGGUCAUUUGUUAUAGACGUUUUUAGAUGUUUUAUGAUGUGCAAAUUCUAAUGUAACAUUACAACCAUCUGUGAUCAGAUGUAUUCUGAUGUUUCAAGCGAGCAACACUUAACAACAAUAUGACAUUUAAUUCUAAUGUAACGUUUCAUUCUAGUGCCAUGAUAUGUAUUUUCUGAUGUUUCGAUUGAGCAAUGCGUGACAUCAAUAUGAUGUUCGAUUCUAAUGUUACAUUACAUUUAUAUGGCGUUAGAUGUAGUCUGAUGUAUCAAGCGAGCAACAGUUGAAAUCAAUAUAACAUUUGAUUAUGAUGUAACAUUAGAAGAGUUUGUCUUUGGAUGUUAUAGGAUGUUAAAUUCAACAUCACAUUGAUGUUUAACUUUGAUGUUACAUGCAAAUCUUAUGUAC